UCCAGCUGCCCAUGGACCCCACCAACACCAGCUCUGACAUAGGAGGGGAAACAGCCCCGAGAGGUGCAAAGUAUUCUAAGUUAUGGAUGUUCAUAGAAGGGUAGUUUGUUUUAUUUGUAAUUCUUUACUUUUGGCUGUGCUUACCUCCUGCCAGAUUUCUAACUCCCUUAACAUUUAAGAUUGCCAAAUCAGGCCAUCUGUAAACAUGAAAAGUUGUAAAACUGGGGUCUUUCACCAAAGUGAUAGUUUUAAUAUUCUGAACAGAAGAAAAACUAAUAUUUUAGUUCUGAAAGUCCCAAAUAAUAUAGUUUGGAGUGGGUAUAGCCUCUCUGUUCUCCAUCCUCUGCAUUUCUCAGGGUUUUCUGAAUGUGGGUGGAUCUUGGUUUGAUGGCCAUCUUUUUCUUCCUCUCUGUCGAGAAUGUGCCUUGGCAAGCAUUGGAGAAGCCCAGCACAGCUUUUGUGAGCCAGAAAGGUUAAAACUGAGCUGACAGGACAGCCCCAGCUCUCUGCUGUUGUCCUGGAAGCUGGGAAGUCCUGGAUCAAGACACCAAUAGAUUUGGUACCUGCAUGAGAACAGACUAAUACAAAGGCUCUACCCUCAUCACCUCCAGAAGCUAAAUCACCUCCCAGAAGCCUCAUCUCCUAAUACCAUCUCAUUGGGGGUUAUAAUUUCAACGUAC
rnacentral:lncRNA from 1 species